CAAACCUCCGUAGCCUGUAUC
rnacentral:miRNA from 1 species